rnacentral:lncRNA from 1 species
CAUCUGAAUUUGUUGUAGCUGGGGACUUAACAGGAAAUAUCAGCUGAUGAAGGAAAUGCCAGACAUUCGUUACGAGAGAGGAAUAUUACAAAGGCACCACUUUGGAAAAAGAGACUGCAGUAUUUGGGAAGACGGAAGGCUGCUAACGUGCUUGGAUACAGCACAGCCACUUAUUCACCCACGUAGAGAGCUCUCAGGCCACCACCAAUAUCAACCUUGGGGGUGACCUUUAGAUAGAGGAGAGUUUUUUUUAAAUCACAUCAAAACAAAAUACAUCUAAAAGUGCCUCAAAUAACUACGUGUGGGUCUGUGACAAAAGAGAAAAAGAGCAGUGAUGGUCUUCUCAAGCAAAGAGAGGCUUCUGAGAGGAAGAUCACGCCUUUCACUCUACCUCAUUAUACUGUAUAGCUGGCGGACUGAGAGGAGAAAUGUUUCUCUGUGUAGCAGCUCAUUAGCAAAAGAAGAACUCUGACAUUAGUUAAAAUGUUGAUAGAUGUGACAGGUGGUGUGAAGACAAGAUGGUGUU